ACUGCUAUCGGGUUGAGACUAAGCCAUGCAAGUCGAGCGUUUUAAGCUAUGUUGAAAGCGCGGCAUAAGGCUCCGUAACACGUAGUUAACCUACCCUCAGGAUGGAGAUAACCCCUGGGAAACUGGGACUAAUAUCCAAUAAAUGAUUAUGCCUGGAAUGGUUUAUCAUUGAAAGAGCUGAAUACAUGCUUUCAGUAUCACCUGAGGAUGGGACUGCGUCCGAUCAGGUUGUUGGCGGGGUAACGGCCCACCAAGCCUAUAACCGGUACGGGCCCUGAGAGGGGGAGCCCGGAGAUGGAAACUGAGACAAGGUUCCAGGCCCUACGGGGCGCAGCAGGCGCGAAACCUCCACAAUGCGCGAAAGCGUGAUGGGGUUAGCCCGAGUGCUGUCCGAAAAGGAUGGCUUUUCCUUGGCGUAAAAACCCGAGGGAAUAAAGGGGGGGCAAGACUGGUGUCAGCCGCCGCGGUAAUACCAGCCCCCUGAGUGGUAAGGACGAUUAUUUGGCUUAAAGCGUCCGUAGCCGGCUUAGUGAGUCUCUUGUUAAAUCCAAUGAUUCAAUCAUUGAACUGCAAGAGAUACUACUAUGCUAGAGGACGGGAGAGGUCGACGGUAGUCCAAGGGUAGGGGUGAAAUCCUAUAAUCCUUGGAGGACCACCAGUGGCGAAGGCGGUCGACUA
rnacentral:rRNA from 1 species